GACGAACGCUGGCGGCGUGCUUAACACAUGCAAGUCGAACGGAAAGGCCCUGCUCUUGUGGGGUGCUCGAGUGGCGAACGGGUGAGUAACACGCGAGUAACCUGCCCCUGACUUUGUGAUAACUUCACGAAACUGGGGCUAAUACCGGAUAGGAUCUCCUGCUCCACGGGGGGGGAUGGUAAGUUUCGGCGGUGGGGGCUCGUCUCGAGGCUUAUCAGCUUGUUGGUCGGGUAGUGGCUUACCAAGGCUUCGACGGGUAGCCGGCCUGGGAGGGUGACCGGGCACAUUGGGCCUGAGGUACGGCCCAGAAGCCUACGGGCGGCAGCGGUGGGGAGUAUUACGGAGUGGGCGGAAGCCUGAUGCGGCAGCGCCGCGUGCGGGAUAACCGCCUUCGGGUUGUAAACAGCUUUCGACUGUGACGAAGAGUGAGUGACGGUAAUGGGUAAGAAAGCACCGGCUAACUACGUG
rnacentral:rRNA from 1 species